GGACCGCUACUCUGGAGAAGUCGAGGCAAGAACCGUAACUGCAGCAGCUUGGCGGCGAGGUGCCAGGCGAGUGGCGAGGGCAGUUUGUUUACUCCCCAAAACACAGUGUCGGCAGGGGUGAAAACACCAUUCAACAUGGACGAGCUGACGCCGGUGUUACAGCGGUUCAGCAUAGAAGUCGUGGAAGCGUCACGGCUGGUUUCUCGCGACAUCAUCGCGUUUUGCAUGAGCGCUGUUAUCCAGCCUCUGUUGUCGAGACUCGAAGCCUUCGAUGUGCGUUUCAAAUGUUAUGCGCCGAUGCCAACGGAGACCAAUUUCGAAGCCUUGAAAGUAUCGGCCGGCAACGAAUUCGAACUUUUAGUUGUUUUAGAACAUUUGGCUGCAAUCAAAACCUUCAACGACCUCGCCGAAACGAACCCAUCUUUGGCGUGUUACGGCCAGGUCCUGGUGCAGGAGUGUUCGGGCCUCAGCUUGGACGAUUUGUGUACAGCCAACACCGCGGGUCAGCACAAAGUGCUCUCCGCCGCGAAAGUACGCGAGCAUUUUGCGCAAACUGUUGCCAAAGCGGCUACCAUUACUGCGUUUCAGGAUGCCACUGUUCAAGUUAGAUUUAAAGAUCCUUACACUCAGGUGAAGAUCGUUCGAUUCCACGACACCUACUUUGUUCAGCUGGUGCCGGCUAUCUAUUUCCACAACAUGUGGCCAUACUGUGCCAACGCAUGGGGUCAAGAAGAUGCCACCACAUCCUGGCUGACGCCGGAAGUGACGUCACACUGCCGUCACAUGGGAUUCUUCGCCGUUCCUCAAAAGUGUCCUUACAGCCAGGAGGAGACCCUGUGGAGGAUCUCGUUUCAACGGGCGGAGAAAUACCUGCUGUCGUACAGCUUUAUCGAUUCGCCGCAAGGCGUCAUGAAGCAAGUGGAUCGCGUGCUGCGGAUGCUGCGGACGUCAGAUGCAGACGCCUUCCGCCCCCUGUCGGCGUACCACCUGACGACGGCCGUGCUGCACGCCUGGCGCGAGUGGCCCGACCCUUGCAGCUGGACAGCUGCCCGCCUGGGGGAGCGCUUGCUGGCCGUGCUGUGCUGGCUCGUCCACGCGCUGGAGCAGCGCGAGCUGCGUCACUUCUUCGUCCCCUCGUGCAACCUGCUGGCCCACUACACCCCGCAGCAAUGCCUGGAGGCCGCCGCACGCCUUCGGGACAUCCACAACGAGUUCUGUCUGGCACCGGAGCAGAGCAUUCGUCUGCAGUGCUGAUGACAUUUUAAAAAAACAACAACAAAAAAGGAUUUGGGGUUAUGGUGGGGUGGGGUGGAAGCGGGCAAAGAAGGUUUGAGAUGGUAUGGGCGGCGAUAUGUACUUUCUCCGUCGUACGGGUGCAUUUACGGAGGUUCGCCCAAUGAGGUAGCUGGGUGGCUUCGCGAGAAUCACUCUCUCGCAAACACACAACACAGACAGGCAAAUAUUCGGAUAGAAACUCUCUCAGGGCUUCAGGAAGAGUAAUGGUGAGAAAUGUUUUAGGAGGUAUGACUGUUUGCAUACAGUCCAUAAUCGCGGGCAUCUUGUCAUAUUCAAUAGUAUUAUAGACAGGUAGCUGUGUGUGUGAGUGCGUAUGUGUGUGUCCACACCCUAGUAAAUGUGCACACGGUUACAUCACCAUUACUGGGUUCUGCACUUACAUUCUGAGAAAACAGAGGUUUGAUGUGCGCUGUAUGCAUGCAAAUACAGAAGGAUAGAAUAGGACGAAACCAACCUCUGCCCCUUGUCGCUCUGUCUAGUCCAAUAAAGCCCUUGUUAACGAGUGCUUAUAACAAUUAACACUCGCAGAAUUAUAUUCUUGGCACAAAAAAAAACAACAAAACAAAACGAAAUGUAAGUUUCCUCCCUAAGUCGCGGCUUGUUUGUAUCAUCAAAUGUGAUUAGUGUUCGCGGAAUGUUCUUAGAUGUUCAUAACAUUGUUUGUCCAAACAUUCUUUGCUACAGUAUGCUUCUUCUUCAGCCAUUUUAUUUGUAAGUGUACACGUGUCAUUUUCCCUGGUCUCACUGAAGUAUCAUUCAGGUUUCGAAUGAAGGUGUGGCUGUGUGAAAGUAUCGAGAUCUCAGAGCAGUGGUAUGUGUGUAUGUGAAAGUUUCGGAGGUCUCACAGCAAUGGAAUGUGUGAAAGUUUCGGAGGUCACAUUAACUUAUAUGGAUGUAGAAGGGCUUUGCUCUGUGUUUGCACAUUUUUGAUUGGCUGUGGCUGAGUGACAAAAAACAUUGUCUCAGUUCACGCUAUGAAGUAAAUAGUCGUUUUUCUC
rnacentral:misc_RNA from 1 species